GAGUUUGAUCCUGGCUCAGGUAUGAACGCUAGCGGCGCGCCUAAUGCAUGUAAGUCGAGCGAUGAAGCCCCUUCGGGGGCAUAUCAGCGGCAGACGGGUGAGUAACACGUGGGUGACCUACCCCGUAGACUGGGAUAACUGGUGGAAACACUGGCUAAUACCGGAUGACCUUAUGGUGAUCAAAGCGAUAAGGAAAGGUUUUCGGACUGCUACGGGAGGGGCCCGCGGCCCAUCAGCUAGUUGGUGAGGUAAAAGCUCACCAAGGCUAAGACGGGUAGGGGGUGUGAGAGCACGGCCCCCCACAAUGGGACUGAGACACGGCCCAUACUCCUACGGGAGGCAGCAGCAGGGAAUAUUGCACAAUGGACGAAAGUCUGAUGCAGCGACGCCGCGUGGAUGAAGAAGGCCCUCGGGUUGUAAAAUCCUUUUAAGGGGGAAGAGGAAGGACGGUACCCCUUGAAUAAGCGUCGGCUAACUACGUGCCAGCAGCCGCGGUAAGACGUAGGACGCAAGCGUUAUCCGGAUUUACUGGGCGUAAAGCGUCUGUAGGCGGAGAGACAAGUUGGGCGUGAAAGCUCCGGGCUCAACCCGGAGAGUGCGUUCAAUACUGUUUUUCUAGAGGAAGUCAGAGGAGAGCGGAAUUUCCGGUGUAGCGGUAAAAUGCGCAGAUAUCGGAAGGAACACCAGUGGCGAAAGCGGCUCUCUGGGACUUUUCUGACGCUGAGAGACGAAAGCUAGGGGAGCGAACAGGAUUAGAGACCCUGGUAGUCCUAGCCAUAAACGAUGGAUGCUAGGUGUGGGACCGAGAAGGUCCCGUGCCGAAGCAAACGCGAUAA
rnacentral:rRNA from 1 species